rnacentral:rRNA from 1 species
CUACGGGUGGCUCCAGUGAGGAAUAUUGCACAAUGGGGGGAACCCUGAUGCAGCAACGCCGCGUGGAGGAUGACGCAUUUCGGUGUGUAAACUCCUUUUAUAUGUCAAGAAAAUGACGGUAGCAUAUGAAUAAGCACCGGCUAACUCCGUGCCAGCAGCCGCGGUAAUACGGAGGGUGCAAGCGUUACUCGGAAUCACUGGGCGUAAAGGACGCGUAGGCGGGAUAUCAAGUCAGGUGUGAAAUCCUACAGCUUAACUGUAGAACUGCACUUGAAACUGGUAACCUAGAGUAUGGGAGGGGGAGAUGGAAUUAGUGGUGUAGGGGUAAAAUCCGUAGAUAUCACUAGGAAUACCUAAAGCGAAGGCGAUCUCCUGGAACAUAACUGACGCUAAGACGUGAAAGCGUGGGGAGCAAACAGGAUUAGAUACCCUUGUAGUC